rnacentral:rRNA from 1 species
CACUAUCGUUAACUGAAUACAUAGGUUAACGAGGCGAACCGGGGGAACUGAAACAUCUAAGUACCCCGAGGAAAAGAAAUCAACCGAGAUUCCCCCAGUAGCGGCGAGCGAACGGGGAGCAGCCCAGAGUCUGAAUCAGCUUGUGUGUUAGUGGAACGGUCUGGAAAGUCCGACGGUACAGGGUGAUAGUCCCGUACACCAAAAUGCACAGGCUGUGAACUCGAAGAGUAGGGCGGGACACGUGGUAUCCUGUCUGAAUAUGGGGGGACCAUCCUCCAAGGCUAAAUACUCCUGACUGACCGAUAGUGAACCAGUACCGUGAGGGAAAGGCGAAAAGAACCCCGGCGAGGGGAGUGAAAAAGAACCUGAAACCGUGUACGUACAAGCAGUGGGAGCACCUUCGGGUGUGACUGCGUACCUUUUGUAUAAUGGGUCAGCGACUUAUAUUCUGUAGCAAGGUUAACCGUAUAGGGGAGCCGCAGGGAAACCGAGUCUUAACUGGGCGUUAAGUUGCAGGGUAUAGACCCGAAACCCGGUGAUCUAGCCAUGGGCAGGUUGAAGGUUGGGUAACACUAACUGGAGGACCGAACCGACUAAUGUUGAAAAAUUAGCGGAUGACUUGUGGCUGGGGGUGAAAGGCCAAUCAAACCGGGAGAUAGCUGGUUCUCCCCGAAAGCUAUUUAGGUAGCGCCUCGUGAACUCAUCUUCGGGGGUAGAGCACUGUUUCGGCUAGGGGGUCAUCCCGACUUACCAACCCGAUGCAAACUACGAAUACCGAAGAAUGUUAUCACGGGAGACACACGGCGGGUGCUAACGUCCGUCGUGAAGAGGGAAACAACCCAGACCGCCAGCUAAGGUCCCAAAGUCAUGGUUAAGUGGGAAACGAUGUGGGAAGGCACAGACAGCCAGGAUGUUGGCUUAGAAGCAGCCAUCAUUUAAAGAAAGCGUAAUAGCUCACUGGUCGAGUCGGCCUGCGCGGAAGAUGUAACGGGGCUAAACCAUGCACCGAAGCUGCGGCAGCGACACUAUGUGUUGUUGGGUAGGGGAGCGUUCUGUAAGCCUGCGAAGGUGUGCUGUGAGGCAUGCUGGAGGUAUCAGAAGUGCGAAUGCUGACAUAAGUAACGAUAAAGCGGGUGAAAAGCCCGCUCGCCGGAAGACCAAGGGUUCCUGUCCAACGUUAAUCGGGGCAGGGUGAGUCGACCCCUAAGGCGAGGCCGAAAGGCGUAGUCGAUGGGAAACAGGUUAAUAUUCCUGUACUUGGUGUUACUGCGAAGGGGGGACGGAGAAGGCUAUGUUAGCCGGGCGACGGUUGUCCCGGUUUAAGCAUGUAGGCUGAUUGUCCAGGCAAAUCCGGAUAAUCAAGGCUGAGGUGUGAUGACGAGGCACUACGGUGCUGAAGUAACAAAUGCCCUGCUUCCAGGAAAAGCCUCUAAGCAUCAGGUAACAUUAAAUCGUACCCCAAACCGACACAGGUGGUCAGGUAGAGAAUACCAAGGCGCUUGAGAGAACUCGGGUGAAGGAACUAGGCAAAAUGGUGCCGUAACUUCGGGAGAAGGCACGCUGGUGUGUAGGUGAAGUCCCUGCGGAUGGAGCUGAGACCAGUCGAAGAUACCAGCUGGCUGCAACUGUUUAUUAAAAACACAGCACUGUGCAAACACGAAAGUGGACGUAUACGGUGUGACGCCUGCCCGGUGCCGGAAGGUUAAUUGAUGGGGUUAUCCGUAAGGAGAAGCUCUUGAUCGAAGCCCCGGUAAACGGCGGCCGUAACUAUAACGGUCCUAAGGUAGCGAAAUUCCUUGUCGGGUAAGUUCCGACCUGCACGAAUGGCGUAAUGAUGGCCAGGCUGUCUCCACCCGAGACUCAGUGAAAUUGAACUCGCUGUGAAGAUGCAGUGUACCCGCGGCAAGACGGAAAGACCCCGUGAACCUUUACUAUAGCUUGACACUGAACAUUGAGCCUUGAUGUGUAGGAUAGGUGGGAGGCUUUGAAGCGUGGACGCCAGUCUGCGUGGAGCCAACCUUGAAAUACCACCCUUUAAUGUUUGAUGUUCUAACGUUGGCCCCUGACCGGGGUUGCGGACAGUGUCUGGUGGGUAGUUUGACUGGGGCGGUCUCCUCCCAAAGCGUAACGGAGGAGCACGAAGGUUAGCUAAUCCUGGUCGGACAUCAGGAGGUUAGUGCAAUGGCAUAAGCUAGCUUGACUGCGAGCGUGACGGCGCGAGCAGGUGCGAAAGCAGGUCAUAGUGAUCCGGUGGUUCUGAAUGGAAGGGCCAUCGCUCAACGGAUAAAAGGUACUCCGGGGAUAACAGGCUGAUACCGCCCAAGAGUUCAUAUCGACGGCGGUGUUUGGCACCUCGAUGUCGGCUCAUCACAUCCUGGGGCUGAAGUAGGUCCCAAGGGUAUGGCUGUUCGCCAUUUAAAGUGGUACGCGAGCUGGGUUUAGAACGUCGUGAGACAGUUCGGUCCCUAUCUGCCGUGGGCGCUGGAGAAUUGAGGGGGGCUGCUCCUAGUACGAGAGGACCGGAGUGGACGCAUCACUGGUGUUCGGGUUGUCAUGCCAAUGGCACUGCCCGGUAGCUAAAUGCGGAAGAGAUAAGUGCUGAAAGCAUCUAAGCACGAAACUUGCCCCGAGAUGAGUUCUCCCUGAGACUUUAAGUCUCCUGAAGGAACGUUAAAGACGAUGACGUUGAUAGGCCGGGUGUGUAAGCGCAGCGAUGCGUUGAGCUAACCGGUACUAAUGAACCGUGAGGCUUAACCUU